ACCAGUGUUGAAACACAUUUCUUUCUCUCACACAUUCCCCUCUCUCACUGGAUCUUCCCCUCUCUAGUACUUUCCCUUCUUUCAUCGUCGACGAAGACCGAAAGCACUGCCCCGUGUCGUACGAACAGGCGAAAGGCGAGCCUCACCUCUGGCAUUCGAAUCGUCCAACGCCUAGCCAUCGAGAAAGUCCUCAAUCACUUCACCGUCGACGAAAACCGUCACUAAUUUGUUCAGGGGAACAAUUAUUGACGUGUGUUUCUAAUUUCGGUGGUGUGCUCAUCAUCCGGACACAUUGAUAGCCAUUCUAUUCCAAGCCUCCCAUUUGUAUAUACCAGGACAGAUGGAGUUUGAAUUCCUGAUUCCGGAAGAUGCACGGUUGCGAGUCCACAUUUCCCAACGAAGCAACCUGGAGUACGUGAAGAACGUGAUGGACCAUUUUGACGAGCGGCAACGUGAGGACUUUUGCAACUCCUUCCUCAAGCAUCUAGCUGAGAUUUUAGACAUUCAAUUCUCUGCCCAGCUAAUCCAGAAGCUAGUGUUCAGAAGCGUCCGCACUGAAAAAGGUCAAUGAGCUUUGGUUCAAUGUAUAAAGCCACCUGAUGAGAUUCGGUCUACAAGAGUAUGCUCUUGUGACAGGGUUAAGAUGUUGUCUAUUCCUGGAGGGUGAUGAUUUCAAUCGAUUGAUUGAGAUGAGGAGGUUGAAAGAGAGAUACUUUAAGUCCAAUGACAAGAUUUCAUUGGCACAACUACAGUACUGUUGCCCGACCGUCGACGAUCCAAGCUGAUCGCUACAAACUAGGGUUGGUUCUAAUUGUCAAGGGAGUUUUCAAUGCUCCACAUAAUAAGGUCGGUAUCCAUUUGCCGACAUUAUCCAUUGUCGAUGACUUGGACUUUUUUUUGCCUACCCUUGGGAUAGAGUUGGAUAUAGGCGUUUGUUACACGGAUUCGAGGUAGCUUCGCAAGAAAAUUUCAAAAGGCCAAGAGGAGGAAGAAUAAGGAGAUUACUUACACGAUUUACAGCUUUUCCAUUGCCAUGCAGGUUUGGGCAUACGAGGUAAUUCAGGAGAUUCGAAAAUGCUUCGAUCAGCGAGUCAGUGAACGAAUGCCACAACUUCUUCGCUGGUCCUCAUGAAAAUAGCCACAGUGCCGUACAUUGGAUGCAUUUUUCAAGAAUGUACAGUUACAUGUGUACGUUGCACUUCGCCCCACCCAUGCAUACGUCGAACAGCCCUAUUUUUCCACUCUCGUGCCAUAUGACGAUCCCCAGGUGCCCGUACUCGAUGACAUUAUCAGGACUGUUCUUGCGCCGUAGUUUAAUUCAUUGCACAUCGGUAGUGGAGUUGGUGGACAGUCGAGAAGGCAAGAUUCGGACGACGGAGUGUCUAGUGGAGGAAAUGGUGAGGAUGAGACAUCCGGAGAUGAUGACGGCGAUGGAAAGUCAGGAAGUGAUCGCGAUGGCUACGAUAGUGAAGAUACUGGUAAGUCUUUCACACCUCCGACGGCAUUGGUUUCUUCUCCAGUGCGAGGGGCUAUGACACAGACACGACCAGUUGGAACAUCUGGAUCAAGCUUGACCAGAGGGGAAGUGGAGAAGCUGCUAUUAGACCAAAGAAUCCUCUUUGAAAUGUGACUCCAAACCGUGAAGCUCGAAAUUCAACAGCACGUGACGUCUGAAUGUACAAGACUCCGAGAGUUCAUUGCUGCCCUGGUGGCCCCACCACUCUAGGCGUAACGGGCGCCAAUGUUGAGGCCUGUGUUUCAGUAGACGUACAUGGACGAGGCAUGAAGCCAUGCCCCGAUGAGCAUGACAUGGCAGUAGACACAGGACGUUCACAGCUUCUAGGCAUGUGGAUUAUUCACGAGCAAAUCGAAACUUGUUAUUCCCUAGACCUUGUAUGAUACUUGAGUUGGCAGAUGUAAUGUACUCUCACUAUGUCACUGUUGUUUUCCACGGACGGAGCAUACAGUGCACCAUGCCCGAACGAGGAGGAGCUGCCUGUAGGAAUUGAACAUUUGCCAGACGAACCUGACAUUGCACCAUGCCCGAACGAUGAUCACGAGCCGUUGCCCACUCCAAUUGAUGAUCCGCAAGAUGGAGGAUGAAACCAGCCGCUUAUGGCCGUGCCUGAUUUGAACUAUGGAGCUGCCACGGAGCCCUCACAUGUGGCUGAGGUUAGCGAUACAGAGUUGGACGGUUGCAACGUGACGGAUGGCGUAGUGUUGUCGCUGAGGUACCUAUUCCCAUCCCUGUACCAGAAGCAUGAGGCAGAGUUACUAUGACGAGACGGCGCUCUGCCCAGCUGCGACGUUCCGCUCCUGCUACGAGGACUCCAUACACGAGGGGGAGGGGAAGAGAAUAAAGAAGUAAUUGUGAAUGAAGUGUCGGGAUGGCAGGACGAUGGUGUUGUUUUUUGUUUUACCUUGUCAUUGGAGGCAUGGAGGUGGUGAACAAUGUUGAGGAGAACAAUUAUUCACUUGUUUUUACGUUUUCGUUUAAAAUUACGUUUGAAUUACUCUUGGCGUGUGUGUUGAUACUUUGACAUGGGCUUAACAUUUUGCGUUGUCCGUGUAUUAUGUCGUGUCCGUGUCUAAUUUUGAUGACAUUUUGUUCUAUUGCUACAUGUCAGAUAACUUAACCAUGUGUUAUAUUACGUGAACCUUAUGAACGUAGUUAACAUGAUAAGCGUUGUUUGUCACACUCAUACAUUAACUUGCUUGAUAAUUUUCCACUUGCAAUGUUCAAUCUCGUCCGUUCCCAUCUAUUGUACUUCCUCUUUCCUUUUUUUGGCUUUUCAAAUACGUUAUCUGCAUUCUUCUAAUACUGUAUUAUCGUUGCAGUUAGCUUUUUAAAUAUGAUCUUUGCAUUCUUCUAAUUUUUAAAGAUGUCCAACUUUUGAUUUUAUUUAUAUUUGAUUUGUCAUCAACAUGCAAUUAAUUGUUUUCCUUAAGUGCUCUUCAGCUUCGAAGGAUUUCUUCCCAACAUUGUAAUACUAACUGACAACAUGUUUGCGGAAAUGACAUGUACACCUAAAAGUUCUGCAAUUGCGGCAAAUUUGAUACUUCAUUUAUGCCAUUUCAUUGGAGGAUGACAGCUUAUCAAGGUUGUAGAGAUAUGAGCUCGUAUAGGCGAUGGUCGGGUACGCGAAAUGAGGCUUUGGUGCACUUCCAUGAGAUGUGAUGAACAGUGAGAAAGCGUGGAACAUCUUGUACGGGCAUAUAUUAUGUCAACAAUCCGCAGGGAUGAAUUGGUUAUUUUUCUAUUUUAUGUAAUAUUAUCGUCUAGUUCAAACGAUGACAUUGCAUUUAUUCAAAACUGUUAAGUUUAUUUGAAAUUUAUGUACAACAACCCUCCGUUUACAAUGAAGCCACUUGGCUCGCACUACUACGGCAUACG